GUGCUGGCUUUGGCAGCACAUACACUAAUAUUAGAACAACAGAGAUUAGCAUGUCCCCUACGCAAGGAUGACAGGUAAAUUUGAGAAGCAUUCCAUGUUUUU
ensembl:snRNA U6 U6 spliceosomal RNA